rnacentral:rRNA from 1 species
GCGACCACAGGUCAGGCGGGACU